UGGGGAAUAUUGCACAAUGGGCGCAAGCCUGAUGCAGCCAUGCCGCGUGUGUGAAGAAGGCCUUCGGGUUGUAAAGCACUUUCAGCGGGGAGGAAGGCGGUGAGGUUAAUAACCUCAUCGAUUGACGUUACCCGCAGAAGAAGCACCGGCUAACUCCGUGCCAGCAGCCGCGGUAAUACGGAGGGUGCAAGCGUUAAUCGGAAUUACUGGGCGUAAAGCGCACGCAGGCGGUCUGUCAAGUCGGAUGUGAAAUCCCCGGGCUCAACCUUGGAACUGCAUUCGAAUCUGGCAGGCUAGAGUCUUGUAGAUGGGGGUAGCAUUCCAGGUAUAGCGGUGAACUGCGUAGCGAUCUGCAGGAAUACCGGUGGCGAAGGCGGCCCCCUGGACAAAGACUGACGCUCAGGUGCGAAAGCGUGGGGAGCAAACAGG
rnacentral:rRNA from 1 species